CUUUAGUAAUUGCGAAUGAACAAGGAUAUGCUUAGCUUGACAAAUGGAGCUAUUGGCUUUGAAUUGUAUUGUGGAAAUGUAUUACCAACAGAGGUGCAGGUGCCAGCCUAUUGAAAUAAAGCGUCAAUGAGGGUGAGAAUCCUGUUUGUCAUGUGCAGCCCUUUGUGCACGGUGUAUAUUUGCUGAGUCACACUCCUUGGCAUUGGAAUGCAAAGUGGGUGGUAAGUUUCAUGUAAAGGUAAACAUGCAAUUGAGACUGAUAGCACACAAGUACCAUGAGGGAAAUAUGAAAAGGACUUUGAAAAGAGAAUUAAAUGAGUUUGUAUUUGCUGAACACAAAGUAAACAGACUUGAUUUGCUUGGUGGGAGUGUUGCACUUGCUUGACAAGAGCUUUGGGCUGUGGGUGUAAUGAUUCUUUCUUUGCAUGCCAGUUUCUAUUUGUACAUCUGAUUACCUUUGCACAUGAAUGAUAAGUCUCCUGUGGGGGGUGGAUUGCAUGUGCAUGUAAUGAUUUGUGUUUUGAUAAAUGUGUCUGGUGUAUGUGUGUGUUCCUGUGCUUGGGGAUGCUUCCUUCCUUGGACUUACAAGCCCUGACACACACAUGCUGGCAAAAUGCUUCUGCUUGACCCGUCUUGAAACACGGACCAAGGAGUCUAACAGAUGUGCAAAGUUUGAAGGUGGUAUACCUUUGUGUGCAAUGAAAGUGUCAGCUGGGAUAUGUGCACCAGCACCCAAUUAAUUAGCGGACAGAGGUUUGAGUUGGAGCAUAUCUAUUAGGACCCGAAAGAUGGUGAACUAUGCCUGAACAGAAUGAAUUCAGAGGAAACUCUGAUGGAGGUUCGUAUCGAUACUGACGUGCAAAUCGUUCGUCAUAUUUGGGUAUAGGGGCGAAAGACUAAUCGAACCAUCUAGUAGCUGGUUCCCUCCGAAGUUUCCCUCAGGAUAGCUGGAGUUGCUCAGUUUUAUCAGGUAAAGCGAAUGAUUAGAGGAAUUGGGGACAGGUUUGUCUUUGACCUAUUCUCAAACUUUAAAUGGGUAAUAUGUAGUGGUUGCUGUAUGGAACUUCUAAGAUAAAUGGCAAUAUUGGGUGGGCCAUUUUUGGUAAGCAGAACUGGCGAUGAGGGAUGAACCU
rnacentral:rRNA from 1 species